GUGCCUCUGUUUACAAUAAAAAUGACACAACAUCUGAUCCAAAAAUUCUUAAACUUUGUGACUUUGUGUAGCUGAUUGUUCCUGCAAAUUGUGGGCAAGCACAACGGCAAGCAGCGGAUGGAAGGCCGCAAAGGUCAAGACCAGACCAAUCCCCUUCUCCACCCCCCUCCCCUUCUGUGGCCCAAUCCCUCUCUCCGCCACCCUCCACCUCUCUUUCCCAAUCCCCUUCUCCGCCCCACUCCCCCUCUCUUUCCCAAUCCCCUUCUCAGCCCCCCUCCCCUUCUGUGGCCCAAUCCCCCUCUCCGCCCCCCUCCCCUUCUGUGGCCCAAUCCCCCUCUCCGCCACUCUCCCCCUCUCUUUCCCAAUCCCCUUCUCCACCCCACUCCCCCUCUCUUUCACAAUCCCCUUCUCAGCCCCCUCCCCUUCUGUGGCCCAAUCCCCCUCUCUGCCCCCCUCCCCUUCUGUGGCCCAAUCCCCCUCUCCGCCACCCUCCCCCUCUCUUUCCCAAUCCCCUUCUCUGCCCCACUCCCCCUCUCUUUCCCAAUCCCCCUCUCUGUCCCCCUCCCCCUCUGUGGCCCAACCCACCUCUCCGCACCCCUCUGUGGCCCAAACCACCUCUAUGCCACCCUCCCCCUCUCAAUCUGACCCACCCUCUGUAACCAGAUCCCCCUUCCAUCCUCUUUCCACAAUCCAGACUCCUUCCCCCAUCCAGACUCCUUCCCCCAUCCAGCCUCCUUUCCCACAAUCAGAAUGGGCAGCAGAGGCCCCGGAGCAACUUGAGGGAGGUGAACAAGUGGCAGAGGAGAAUGUUGCGGUUGGAGAUCCCACAAGUUUUGCGGGCAUUCUGGCCAGCAUGCGCCAGCACCUAGAAGCAUUGCUAAAUAAUGUUGCACAGUUGCAAAAAUUUGGUUAAUCUUUUAUUUUAUUUUUUAAAAAUUAUAAAAAGUUUAUUGAAGAAAAAAAUUACACAAAAAAUAAAACUUCAUUUUUCAAGUUAA